GUAACGGCGAGUGAAGCGGCAACAGCUCAAAUUUGAAAUCUGGCCCUUUCAGGGUCCGAGUUGUAAUUUGUAGAGAGUGUUUCGGGUGAGAUCACGGUCUAAGUCCAUUGGAACAUGGCGUCAUAGAGGGUGAGAAUCCCGUAUGUGACUGUGGAUCGAGCCCAUGUGAAGCCUCUUCGACGAGUCGAGUUGUUUGGGAAUGCAGCUCAAAAUGGGUGGUAAAUUUCAUCUAAAGCUAAAUACUGGCUGGAGACCGAUAGCGCACAAGUAGAGUGAUCGAAAGAUGAAAAGCACUUUGGAAAGAGAGUCAAACAGUACGUGAAAUUGUUGAAAGGGAAGCGCUUGCAACCAGACCUGUCCGUAGGUGAUCAGCCGCUGUUCUCAGUGGUGCACUCGCUCUACGAUCAGGCCAGCAUCGGUUCCGGCGGUCGGAUAAAGGCCUUGGGAAUGUAGCUUCCUCCGGGGAGUCUUAUAGCCCUCGGUGCAAUGCGGCCAGCCGGGACCGAGGACCGCGCUUCGGCUAGGAUGCUGGCGUAAUGGUUGUAAGCGACCCGUCUUGAAACACGGACCAAGGAGUCUAACAUCUAUGCGAGUGUUUGGGUGUCAAACCCAUGCGCGGAAUGAAAGUGAACGGAGGUGAGAACCCUUAAGGGCGCAUCAUCGACCGAUCCAGAUGUCUUCGGAUGGAUUUGAGUAUGAGCAUGGCUGUUGGGACCCGAAAGAUGGUGAACUAUGCCUGAAUAGGGUGAAGCCAGAGGAAACUCUGGUGGAGGCUCGCAGCGGUUCUGACGUGCAAAUCGAUCGUCAAAUUUGGGUAUAGGGGCGAAAGACUAAUCGAACCAUAUAGUAGCUGGUUCCUGCCGAAGUUUCCCUCAGGAUAGCAGUAACGUUUUCAGUUUUAUGAGGUAAAGCGAAUGAUUAGAGGCCUUGGGGUUGAAACAACCUUAACCUAUUCUCAAACUUUAAAUAUGUAAGAAGUCCUUGUUACUUAGUUGAACGUGGACAUUUGAAUGCACCGUUACUAGUGGGCCAUUUUUGGUAAGCAGAACUGGCGAUGCGGGAUGAACCGAACGCGAGGUUAAGGUGCCGGAAUGUACGCUCAUCAGACACCACAAAAGGUGUUGAUUCAUCUAGACAGCCGGACGGUGGCCAUGGAAGUCGGAAACCGCUAAGGAGUGUGUAACAACUCACCGGCCGAAUGAAUCAGCCCUGAAAAUGGAUGGCGCUCAAGCGUGCUACCCAUACCUCGCCGCCAGGGUAGAAACGAUGCCCUGGCGAGUAGGCAGGCGUGGGGGUCA
rnacentral:rRNA from 1 species